UGAGGAAUUUUCCGCAAUGGGGGAAACCCUGACGGAGCAACACCGCGUGCGGGACGAAGGACUUUUGUCUGUAAACCGCUUUUCUGAAGGAACAAAUUUUGAGCUAACUUCAGGAAUAAGCACCUGCAAACUACGUGCCAGCAGCCGCGGUAAUACGUAGGGUGCAAGCGUUAACCGGAAUCAUUGGGCGUAAAGCGUCUGUAGGCGUCUUAAUAAGUCUGAUGUAAAAUUUUGAAGCCUAACUUCAAAAGCGUGUCGGAAACUAUUAGGAUUGAGGAUUCGAGAGGCUAGUGGAAUGCUGUAUGUAGGGGUAAAAUCCGUAGAUAUGCAGCAGAACACCAAAUGCGAAGGCAGCUAGCUGGCGAUUUCCUGACGCUGAGAGACGAAAGCGUGGGGAGCAAACGGG
rnacentral:rRNA from 1 species